rnacentral:tRNA from 1 species
GGUGAUGUAGCUCAGUUGGUUAGAGCACUGGCCUGUCACGCCAGAGGUCGCGGGUUCGAGCCCCGUCAUCAUCGCCA